rnacentral:rRNA from 1 species
GCCAGGAUUCGAACUCAAGAUCUCUGGCUUUGAUACCAUAUUGUGUUGCAUGCACCAACCAGUUCAACUCAAAAGCUUAAGCUGAUGAGGAAAGGUGGACAAUUCACUUAUACUUCAAUAGGAAAGAUUUUUGAUGCAAAACUAGAAGAGUCAAUAUAUACACGCUACUCCUAUUUUUAUGUGAUUCUCAGAUCAACAUAA